AACGUAGGAUCCGAGCGUUAUCCGAAUUCACUGGGCGUAAAGCGCGUGCAGGCGGCCGAGUAAGUUGGAUGUGAAAUCUCCCGGCUCAACUGGGAGCCGACGUUCAAGACUGCCCGGCUCGAGGACGGUAGAGGGAGGUGGAAUUCCCGGUGUAGUGGUGAAAUGCGUAGAUAUCGGGAGGAACACCAGUGGCGAAGGCGGCCUCCUGGGCCGUUCCUGACGCUCAGACGCGAAAGCUAGGGGAGCGAACGGG
rnacentral:rRNA from 1 species